rnacentral:rRNA from 1 species
CAGUAGCCGCGGGAAUACCGAGGGUGCGAGCGUUAAUCGGAUUUACUGGGCGUAAAGCGUGCGUAGGCGGCUUUUUAAGUCGGAUGUGAAAUCCCUGAGCUUAACUUAGGAAUUGCAUUCGAUACUGGGAAGCUAGAGUAUGGGAGAGGAUGGUAGAAUUCCAGGUGUAGCGGUGAAAUGCGUAGAGAUCUGGAGGAAUACCGAUGGCGAAGGCAGCCAUCUGGCCUAAUACUGACGCUGAGGUACGAAAGCAUGGGGAGCAAACAGGAUUAGAUACCCCCGUAGUCCCUGUCUCUUAUAC